rnacentral:snoRNA from 11 species
UGAUGACUGUUCCUCUUGCUGUCAUAAGCCUUGGACAGUAAGAUUUUGUGUCAUCAGAUAUAAAAAUUGGCCUUUCUUCACUCAAGGUGUCUUGGAUGGGUUUGGCUGUCCUGUAGCACCGUUGAACUUUGCGGGGUCAAACAUUU